AUUAUUUCAUAUAUCAUUCAAUUUUUAUUUCCUGAUUCAGUUUUUUUCCUUUUAUCAAUUCAAUUCAAUUAGCCGGUGAGCGUCGCGACUAAGAUCUGAGAUAUUGUCAUAAUAAAUUUAUACGGUGAAAAAAUCAAUUCUUCGACAGCGAAUGGUCAGUCAACUCAUCAUACUUUGUUGAAAUCGCCUUUUUAUAUAUGUCUGCUCGAGAACGCUCAUGACUAAGCGAAGAUUCUAAGUUGAUCUCCUAGAUCAUUUCAUUUCUCCGUGUUCGAUAUUUGAAUUUGAACCUCGAGUAAUUUGGGUUGCGCACUGCAUGACUAUUAUGGCUAUGGAUCUUCCAACAAGGUUUUCUCCAUCUAUAUACAUGACUCUAACUCAAGACCUCUUGUUAAAGGUGCGCAAUCCCACCACUACGUCACAACUCAUGUUGGUGAAGUGCUAUCGCAAAAUUCUCAAAAGAGGAAAUCAAGAAUUCAAGUUUCCAAGUUCAAGAACCUUCAAUAAAGCUUCAAGAAUGGUGCUUCCUUCCCAAGAUUAAGGGUUUAAGGUAUCAGUUGUAGUCCACACAUCAUGAUCAGACAGUUGCAGUUUCAGCCAACAAGUUAUGAAUUCUCCUAUUUCGGGGACUUUAGUCAGAUGUUGCUCGUGUACUUUACUUUAUUUCUCAUAUGUAUUGAUUAAUAGUAGCUGAAGGUAUGUCCUAUCUAUCUAAUGUCAGUAUAGUAGAGGCUUUAUAGAUAUCAAUCAGAGUCAGUCAUGUAAUUUCAGUUCUCUCUUCAGUUUUAUAGAUUGUAAAUUACAUUAGUAUUAUAAUUCUUCCCAGAUUUUGUCAUGAUUAUAUUUCCGCAU